rnacentral:rRNA from 1 species
AAAUUGCUGUUGAUACUGCUCGACUUGAAUAGUAUGGACGUAAUUAGUAUAUGUAAUGUAGCGGUGAAAUGCGUAGAUAUUACAUGGAAUACCAGUUGCGAAGGCAGAUUACUACGUACUUAUUGACACUGAUGAACGAAAGCGUGGGUAGCGAACAGGAUUAGAUACCCUGGUAGUCCACGCCAUAAACGAUUGAUACUAGCUGUUCGGUCUUCGGAUUGAGUGGCUAAGCGAAAGUGAUACGUAUGCCACCUGGGGAGUACGUUCGCAAGAAUGAAACUCAAAGGAAUUGACGGGGGCCCGCACAAGCGGUGGAGCAUGUGGUUUAAUUCGAUGAUACGCGAGGAACCUUACCAAGGCUUAAAUGUAGAUUGACAGGUUUAGAGAUAGACUUUUCUUCGGACAAUUUACAAGGGGCUGCAUGGUUGUCGUCAGCUCGUGCCGUGAGGUGUCAGGUUAAGUC